CGCCCUGUCCUCGGGGCGGAAUGGAACCUGUUGACGGUACUGAAUGUCGUUUCCCUGAAGCCUGUAAUAAGGGGAACAGGAAUAAAAAGGGCAGUAAGAAGAUGUGAAACUUCGGUGAAAAAGCUCCACCCAAAAAGAAGUCUGCUGCCUCUGUAAGUUUUCAAGAUGGCCGGCUGCGUGUCUCAAUAAGCGAAGUCCUGGAUACCUUAUCUAGAUGGGUUCUGCAGCACAUGGUCCACAAGGCACUGGGGAGAGCGGGGAAGAGACCCGAGCCUCCUUGGAAAGAGCUACUUUGCUGUGCUUCAGGAGGGGGCUCCGCCUCCAGCACUUCAGGACCUCCCUGGUUAAGAAUGAGCUUGCCAAUGCAGGGGACAUGGGUUCCAUCCCUGGUCCGGGAAGAACCCACAUGCCUCGGAGCAACUAAGCCCGUGCGCCACAACUACUGAGCCUGCGAUCUAGAGCCCACGCGCCGAAACUGCUGAAGCCCGCGCACUCUAGGGCCCACGUGUCGCAACUACUGAGCCUGCAUGCUGCAACUACUGAAGCCCAUGCACCUAGAGCCGCUAUCCACAAGAGAAGCCACCGCAAUGAGAAGCCCUCGCACCGCAAUGAAGAGUAGCCCCUGCUCGCCACAACUAGAGAAAGCCUGCACACAGCAAGAA